rnacentral:rRNA from 1 species
GUGCCAGCAGCCGCGGUAAUACGUAGGUGGCAAGCGUUGUCCGGAUUUAUUGGGCGUAAAGCGAGCGCAGGCGGUUUCUUAAGUCUGAUGUGAAAGCCUUCGGCUCAACCGAAGAAGUGCAUCGGAAACUGGGAAACUUGAGUGCAGAAGAGGACAGUGGAACUCCAUGUGUAGCGGUGAAAUGCGUAGAUAUAUGGAAGAACACCAGUGGCGAAGGCGGCUGUCUGGUCUGUAACUGACGCUGAGGCUCGAAAGCAUGGGUAGCAAACAGGAUUAGAUACCCUGGUAGUCCAUGCCGUAAACGAUGAGUGCUAGGUGUUGGAGGGUUUCCGCCCUUCAGUGCCGCAGCUAACGCAUUAAGCACUCCGCCUGGGGAGUACGACCGCAAGGUUGAAACUCAAAGGAAUUGACGGGGGCCCGCACAAGCGGUGGAGCAUGUGGUUUAAUUCGAAGCAACGCGAAGAACCUUACCAGGUCUUGACAUCCUUUGACCACUCUAGAGAUAGAGCUUUCCCUUCGGGGACAAAGUGACAGGUGGUGCAUGGUUGUCGUCAGCUCGUGUCGUGAGAUGUUGGGUUAAGUCCCGCAACGAGCGCAACCCUUAUUACUAGUUGCCAGCAUUUAGUUGGGCACUCUAGUGAGACUGCCGGUGACAAACCGGAGGAAGGUGGGGACGACGUCAAAUCAUCAUGCCCCUUAUGACCUGGGCUACACACGUGCUACAAUGGAUGGUACAACGAGUUGCGAGACCGCGAGGUUUAGCUAAUCUCUUAAAACCAUUCUCAGUUCGGAUUGUAGGCUGCAACUCGCCUACAUGAAGCCGGAAUCGCUAGUAAUCGCGGAUCAGCAUGCCGCGGUGAAUAAAUUCCCGGGCCUUGUACACACCGCCCGU